GCGCACUGGGGGCGAGGUGCCGCGGGAAUGCGUGGUGGGGAAGGGUUGGCCGGAUGUAUUGGGCGUAAAGUGCGUGGAGGCGGCCAUGCAGGUCUGCUGUGAAAACGCGAGGCUCAACCGCGGGCUGUCGGUGGAAACCGUGUGGCUAGAGUCCGGAAGAGGAGAGUGGAAUUCCCGGUGUAGCGGUGAAAUGCGCAGAUAUCGGGAAGAACACCCGUGGCGAAGGCGGCUCUCUGGGACGGUACUGACGCUGAGACGCGAAAGCGUGGGGAGCGAACAGGUUUAGAUACCCGUGUAGUC
rnacentral:rRNA from 1 species